CUGAAUGAAAUGACUCUGCUGCUCCUUCACGCCUGAUGAUCUCCCAACAGCUGCAAACAAGUUUUUUUUUUUUUCUUCAAGUUUGAGAAAAUUCCCACGGUUCUCUCAUCCACUGUGGAGCCGAGGAGGGGUCCAAGAACGUGAUCCAGAGAGGAAAAAGAGAUGCGCACACAAUAUCUGCAAAGGAGAGAGAGAGAAGGAGAGAGAGGAGAGAGAGAGAGAGAGAGAGAAACAGACAGACAAACAAACGGAGAGACAGAGCGCAAACCGAGGUGAAAUAUGUGGUCGGUUCCAUUUUCUUCUCAGUCUUCAUUUCACCAUGAAAGGACGACCCUGUCUCUUCUCAACAAUACGGAACUAAAUUUAAAUAUUGUUUUCUGUGUUUUAUUCCUCACACAUUUUCAUCGGAUUUCUUCCUGAGAGAGAGCUUUUGCGCACUUGGUGCAAAUGUGUCUUCAUCCCCAUUAUGCGCUUCAGCUGUUAAUGUUAAAGGAUCCAAACUUGAGGUGAAAAUGGAUUCUCCAAAACGAGCACAUGUCAUGGAGAGAAAAAUGAGCUCUAUUCCAUGAUGGACGACGUCGUUGUCGGUGGCUCAAAGACCCUCAUCGUGCAGUCUGCAGGGAAGAUGAGGCUCUACGGCAGAAAACACUCCACAUGUCAACACAAUACGGCAAACUGCAAGAGGAGACGCUGGUAAUGAAAGGGUUAAUAACAGGUUUUUUGACACAAAUUACCUCAAAAACAAUACCACCAUAAAAAAUGGUUUAAUUUCUAGAGAAUAUGAGCUGUAUUUAUCACAACAGUGAUGGUUUUGAUUAAUCUUAUAGCUUCCUGCAGCUGCAUUUUAAUCUUCAACAUAAAAUUAACUCUUUGUGCAAAUUAAACGAUUCAUAAAUCGACUCUUUACCUUCAAAAACGUGUGUGUACGCGAGCUUGAUCAAUUUGUGUCUUUUGUAAUCCAUUCAAAGACAAUUUAGGACUGAUAUAUGAUCAUAUGAUUUUUUAUAUAUUAAUACAAAUAUGAAUUAAAGGCCAAUUAAUUACACAAAGGGUUAAAAUGUUCUCCAUGGGUUAACCAAUCAGGGCUCCGGAGCAGCAUGGUCUUUAAAGAAAGCAGAAGGCACAGCACACCCACAUCUCAGUCACUAAGUCUUGGCCUAAAGUUGUGGCUCAGUGACUCAGCUUCUGCAUUACUGUGCGUCUGAUACAGAAAGUAGCCAUAAGAAAAUGUAAAGUUUAAGUCAUUGCCAGGAAUAAACACUGACUCCAUGUGGGUUGUUAACAAAGCAGCUCUGUCUGUCUAAUCAGGAAGUGACAGGCUGCUCUCACCUGUUUCUCUGCAGUGGAGUGGCCAUCUUGAAUGUUUUCUAUGAGCAUAGCAGUGCUAAUGCUAAUCCAAAAUGUACACACUAUAUUGCAUUAAAAGUGUUCCCAAAGUACAUGACUUACAUUUUCAUGACUUAUUUGAAUGUUUUCUGCCACUGCUUCGUGGUACCUGACACUUUGCUCUCUGUCUUUACAGACCACAGCCUGUGUGGCAGCUGGGACACUUUUACUAAGGAAGUGUACACCCUUCAGGCUAAUGCAGUUCAAACAAUAACAAUAUUAAUGAAGACUAACAUACAACAAUGAAGUAUCUUCCGGAGUUCUUCUCUAUUUGUGAGUACUAAAAGAAGCAAAAUAUUCCCUCUCCUAUCAGCUCAGGCCCAGACUACUGCCUUCCUGCCCAGCUAUGGCUCCCCCUAGCCGUGCCUCCAUAUUUCCUUGUUAAUGCACACCAUAAUGCCUUGACCCUCCCUGCUCUACCACACUAUCUAGACACCAAAAUACACCUGAAAACCUCCAUUUCUGUGUCUAAAUGUUGAGUAUACAGCCUCCAUCUGCCUCCCAGCCAACAUUGGGCACCAUUGGGCGCAGCAGAAGAGAGGAUUUCUUACCUUUUGAGAGUGGCUGUGCCUAUGCCUCCCUCACCAAAGUCCCAACCUCGACAGCCUCCUUCUUCUUCCCAGCAAUCCCUGCAAAAAAGGACACUUCCAUGUAUGUUGAAUAUGUAGGGGUGACCAAAUUGGACUAAACCAUUUCUAAAGAGCCCAGAGAGCCCCUAAAACCCAGAAAUUGCCAUUUUGGCCCCAAAUACACAUAAGCUCCAAAAUGCCAUUUUAAUAUCACAUAUUGGUGGCCUUAAACAAUAAAGCCCACUCCUCAAAUACACCAUGUCCUACCCCUAUGGUUUCAACUUAUUCUGGUCCAUCCAGUAGUCAUUCAGUUGAUACUGAAGCGCAAUUGUCAGUAAGUGCGCAGCUGAUCUCUCAGGCACUUUCUGCAGUUGUCUGUGCGUUUGCCAAGCCCUGGAGCAUCUUUGGGAGGCUACAAAUAGUCCAUUGGUGCUAUUUUUGAGUCAAAGAGACCCUUAUCUUGUGGACUGGACCAAAGAAAGCGGAAUGAAAAUAUUUUAAUAUGUGUAGAAUCCAACCAAGCAAAAAGACAGCUAUGGAUCCAAAUGGACCUCUCCAAAAGUGCACAAGUGUAUCCAAAGGCACAGAGAGCUCUCCAAAGACUCCAGGAGAAAAAAGUAGAAGUUUUACCAGCUUAAAAGGUAAUUAUAAUAUAAUUCCGUUUAAAUGUUAUCAAUUGUACUCAAAAAUGUAAAGUUCAACUUAAACAAAGUCGAAUUUAAAGUCAAUUUGAAAGCAAAGUGCAGCAAGAAAAAUGUACCAAAUGGCGCAAUUGGCACUUCAGAGAGUAAAGCUAUUUACCUAACGUAUUUAAACAUAUUAUAUAAUUAAAUAUAUAUGUGCUAAUACGGACAUCACUGUUGCACUGUUCACAAAUUAAAAUUACUGUUUCUCUGACCAGCAGUAGCGAUGAAGUAGGUUAAAAGCUGAGCUGUAAACGCACCCAGUUAGUGCGCCAAAGUAGUCCUGCAACGAGCCACAGUCUGGUCCUUUAUCCAGGCUCGAAUAAGCAAAAAUUCAGCCCUGUGACACACAAAAAAAACAUUAUAUGAAAAGCCCUACAGACACAUCCAAUCGAUUCUUAGAUCAGGGAAUGACUGCGCCGGCGGUUGAAGCUGUUUUCCCCAAAAUAAACCCCCAUGCAAAUUAUUUAGGCAGCUGCCAGCCGAGCGUUAACAGACAAUCCUGUUCCCUUCAAAGCCUAGCUGAUGUCCAUGAUGUUUACGUCGUAUAUUACACCAGCACAUAGUCACAAAUAGGAUGGGCGUUUGCCUCUUGCGUGUCCGGGCCUGAGUCUCCAGCAGGUUUAAGACCCCGCAUCCCCUCUCUGAGACAGCGAGCCUCCGGCAGCAGCAACACAAGGGAAGCCCUGUCCUCCCUGUGGUGGAAACAGAAGAAAAAUAGAAAUAAAAAGACGAGUGUCUGUUAGAAAUUGUCAAAGCCUUCGUUAUCUGCUCAGAAACGACCACAUGAACGCUCAAACGCCUGAAGAAAAAAAAAGAGAUGAAUGUGUAGCCUUUAUUCAGCACCAGAGCACAGCCGGAGCUCCAGCCGGACGCACGCCUGUCCUCAAUGCGCAUUUGUCGCAGCAGCUGUCACACAGAUCACAUUUCACACUGAAGCCACGGUGCGAUGAAUACUCACACUCAGUCCUAUAUGAUGUACUGUAAUCACCAUAAUUGUGCAAGAUCAGCUGUGCGUCGGGCGGCGGUCAAAACGCGUAAUAUGUAGGCUCCAGGGUGGUAAACAGCCGCUGUUGCAAGAUGUUGGGUUUUUUUAGCUGGGGGUGCAGGUGGAGCGCUCUGUUGAAGCCACAGUAAUGAUGUCUGGAGGCAGUGACUUAACAACAGGCACAGGAGUGUGGUUACAAAUCAGCCAAAAUAUAUCUAAGACUCCCUGUUAUAAUAAAUAUGUAUUAUAGGAUUAUCUGUUUCUGUCUUAUUCCGCACUAGGGCUAUAUAUGAAGACAGAACAGAUGCUUUAUUGUAGCACUUGAGCGCUGUAUUGCCUAAUAAUGUGACACCAAGCAAGCCUUCAUAUUGUACCUGUCUGAUUUCAUUCCCUGUGUAUCUAGUUCAAAAUAAAUAAACUUAAAGAAAGAGAAAAAUAGAAA